AUUGAACGCUGGCGGCAGGCCUAACACAUGCAAGUCGAACGGUAACAGGAAACAGCUUGCUGUUUCGCUGACGAGUGGCGGACGGGUGAGUAAUGUCUGGGAAACUGCCUGAUGGAGGGGGAUAACUACUGGAAACGGUAGCUAAUACCGCAUAACGUCGCAAGACCAAAGAGGGGGACCUUCGGGCCUCUUGCCAUCGGAUGUGCCCAGAUGGGAUUAGCUAGUAGGUGGGGUAACGGUUCACCUAGGCGACGAUCCCUAGCUGGUCUGAGAGGAUGACCAGCCACACUGGAACUGAGACACGGUCCAGACUCCUACGGGAGGCAGCAGUGGGGAAUAUUGCACAAUGGGCGCAAGCCUGAUGCAGCCAUGCCGCGUGUAUGAAGAAGGCCUUCGGGUUGUAAAGUACUUUCAGCGGGGAGGAAGGGAGUAAAGUUAAUACCUUUACUCAUUGACGUUACCCGCAGAAGAAGCACCGGCUAACUCCGUG
rnacentral:rRNA from 1 species